CAGCCGCCGCGGUAAUACGGAGGGUGCAAGCGUUGAUCGGAAUUACUGGGCGUAAAGCGUGCGUAGGCGGUUCGUUAAGUCUGUUGUGAAAGCCCCGGGCUCAACCUGGGAAUGGCAAUGGAUACUGGCGAGCUAGAGUGUGUCAGAGGAUGGUGGAAUUCCCGGUGUAGCGGUGAAAUGCGUAGAGAUCGGGAGGAACAUCAGUGGCGAAGGCGGCCAUCUGGGACAACACUGACGCUGAGGCACGAAAGCGUGGGGAGCAAACAGGAUUAGAGACCCCUGUAGUCCCUGUCUCUUAUAC
rnacentral:rRNA from 1 species